AUUAUUGAACCAGAAAAACAAAAUGUCGUUUUCUUAUGUUCGAUGGGUUGGAAGCCAGAUAAAUAUCUUGUGCAAAUUGUUAAUUCUGCUAUAGAAGGGUAUAACAAGUUGAGUGGUGUUAGAAAGGCGAGAAAGCCAACAUGGAAGAUUCCCACAUGCCAAAGAUAACCUUUCAAUUAUGAGUGUGGCUACUUUAUAAUGAUACAUAUGCUGAACAUUGUAUCAGCUGGCAUUACCGACUCAUGGAAUAUGAUUUUUGGAGACGAAACUCCGUUUAUUGAUGAUGAAAUGACAAAAGUUCAAGAACGCUGUGCAAGUUUGAUUUUGGAAAGAGUUGAUGUAAUUUAAUUAUGUCAAUAACUAUGCUUUGAAACAAUGUUUAGCUUUUGUUUAAUUUUAUGAUAUUGUAACUUUGAAUUUGUUUGAUAUUGUAACAAUG